rnacentral:rRNA from 1 species
GUGGGGAAUAUUGGACAAUGGGCGCAAGCCUGAUCCAGCCAUGCCGCGUGUGUGAAGAAGGCCUUUUGGUUGUAAAGCACUUUAAGCGAGGAGGAGGCUACCGAGAUUAAUACUCUUGGAUAGUGGACGUUACUCGCAGAAUAAGCACCGGCUAACUCUGUGCCAGCAGCCGCGGUAAUACAGAGGGUGCAAGCGUUAAUCGGAUUUACUGGGCGUAAAGCGCGCGUAGGUGGCCAAUUAAGUCAAAUGUGAAAUCCCCGAGCUUAACUUGGGAAUUGCAUUCGAUACUGGUUGGCUAGAGUAUGGGAGAGGAUGGUAGAAUUCCAGGUGUAGCGGUGAAAUGCGUAGAGAUCUGGAGGAAUACCGAUGGCGAAGGCAGCCAUCUGGCCUAAUACUGACACUGAGGUGCGAAAGCAUGGGGAGCAAACAGGAUUAGAAACCCUGGUAGUCC